AGGAGUUUGUGGAGGAGCAACAUAAUGUUGCAGAUGUGCCCCAACUGUGGAGUUACUUUGGAAACCAAGGGACAAGCAACUUCUCUCUGAGGUUGGCCGGUAUCCGACGUGCUAUGGAGGCUCUGACAUCCUCAGACAGUACCUCCCUUAAUUACCUCACCCACGCUGGGAGGAUGGUGUUGAGUGGACUGUCCGAGCUCAACCAGCAGG